rnacentral:rRNA from 1 species
GUCGCCUCCUAAAAGGUAACGGAGGCGCUCAAAGGUUCCCUCAGAAUGGUUGGAAAUCAUUCAUAGAGUGUAAAGGCAUAAGGGAGCUUGACUGCGAGACCUACAAGUCGAGCAGGGUCGAAAGACGGACUUAGUGAUCCGGUGGUUCCGCAUGGAAGGGCCAUCGCUCAACGGAUAAAAGCUACCCCGGGGAUAACAGGCUUAUCUCCCCCAAGAGUUCACAUCGACGGGGAGGUUUGGCACCUCGAUGUCGGCUCAUCGCAUCCUGGGGCUGUAGUCGGUCCCAAGGGUUGGGCUGUUCGCCCAUUAAAGCGGUACGCGAGCUGGGUUCAGAACGUCGUGAGACAGUUCGGUCCCUAUCCGUCGUGGGCGUAGGAAAUUUGAGAGGAGCUGUCCUUAGUACGAGAGGACCGGGAUGGACAUACCUCUGGUGUACCAGUUGUCGUGCCAACGGCAUAGCUGGGUAGCUAUGUGUGGACGGGAUAAGUGCUGAAAGCAUCUAAGCAUGAAGCCCCCCUCAAGAUGAGAUUUCCCAACUUCGGUUAUAAGAUCCCUCAAAGAUGAUGAGGUUAAUAGGUUCGAGGUGGAAGCAUGGUGACAUGUGGAGCUGACGAAUACUAAUCGAUCG